UAAUGCAGCAAUUUUUUAAUAAAUAAAAUGACUAUGUUUACUUCACAUUUCAUAGUAUCAAUUAUUGGUUGCCAAAAACAAAAAUGACAAUUAAGGUUGUAACCGUCGGAAUUAUUUAGUGCAUUACGACCUUUGCUGAUCCGAGUUUUACACAGUUUGCAUGGUUUAAAGAGUGACUUCCCUUUACCAGCCAUGCCGUUAGAAUUUCUAUUCAAAUUUCGAUUCGUUUUUUCUAUAUUAUUUACAUGAAAUGGAAGGAGAGAUACCAAAACUCGGAAACCAGUGCAAAAUAAUUGCUGUGCAAAACACGUUGUAUCAAAAUCUUAUGUGGGUAUUCACUGGCUUUGGCGGGAACAGUGGUGGCCUCCGCAUUUGUUGCCGGUAAGGAUGAUACCCUCGACCACGUGAACUCGCAGGAGAUGGCUGGUAAUGACACCUUUCAGUGAUUGUUGGCCUUCGAACAAUGACUGGUUCAUUCUCCUUUCUAUUUUGAAUGGGAGGAACAACAAAAGCUGGAACAACAGCCCUUUUCUCCGCUUUGAACUCACGGAGUUCAUCAACUAAUUGGCCCAGCGCUAAGCCCAUCGUAUGAACCGCUGAUUUCAGUUCAAGAAUCUCAGAUUUGAGAUCAUUUAUACAAGUGUCACAAGUUGACGUCGACGAUGAAGAAGACGAAGACAUGGAAGAUACACUCCAUGGAGAUUUCGUAGGACACAAAAUUCUUUUAUUGGAAGAAUGUAAUGGUGACUCUGGAAAGUCAAAAGGUGACAAAUCGUGUUCACCUAACAUCUCGGGCAAAAUGUCAACAGUAGGGGUACUGUGAAUGGAAUUCGUUUUCAAGCCUGACGAUUCCAUUGCAGAUUUCAAAAUGUCUGAAGACUUACGACGACUGUUAAAAAUCAAACACGAAUCUUCUUUUGAAAAGCGAACAAUGUCCAAGGAAGUUGGAACAUAUGGAUUGACAUUUUUGAUUAAUUAAGCAUUUUCAUUUACGUUUUCAUUAUUAGCCAACAUGGCAUUUACAGUUGCCUCAUGUGGAGGAAAGUUACAUUUUUUAACAUGACGAUAUAAAUCCACUUCGGAUGCACACACAAAUUUGCAAAUUGCACAAUAAAAUGGAACUUUGUCCAAAGCGACGUGUUUUUUGUAAAAAUGAUCAAAAACUUUAGAUUUUUCGCCUUGAUAUUUUGGAAGGCAAUGUUGGCAUUCAAAUAUCCUGCCUCUAUUGUUGAUGUAAGACAUUCUGAAAAUACACAAAAUUUUGUUUUAAUACAUGUUAUAAUAUUGUAAUACAAUUAUUUUUAAUCUUUUUA